rnacentral:rRNA from 1 species
CAUUUGUUCUCUAAAUAAGGACUUGUAUGAAUGGCCACACGAGGGUUUUACUGUCUCUUACUUCCAAUCAGUGAAAUUGACCUCCCCGUGAAGAGGCGGGGAUAAAUUAAUAAGACGAGAAGACCCUAUGGAGCUUUAACUAACCAAUUCAAAGAAAACACAAUAAAUCACCCUGGGAAUAACAAUAUUUUCUCAUGAAUUGGCAGUUUCGGUUGGGGUGACCUCGGAGAAUAAAAAAUCCUCCGAACGAUUUUAAAGACUAGACCUACAAGUCAACCCACUCAAUCGCUUAUUGAUCCAAAAAGCUUGAUCAACGGAACAAGUUACCCUAGGGAUAACAGCGCA